rnacentral:rRNA from 1 species
AUUGAACGCUGGCGGCAGGCCUAACACAUGCAAGUCGAGCGGAUGAAGGGAGCUUGCUCCUGGAUUCAGCGGCGGACGGGUGAGUAAUGCCUAGGAAUCUGCCUGGUAGUGGGGGAUAACGUCCGGAAACGGGCGCUAAUACCGCAUACGUCCUGAGGUAGAAAGUGGGGGAUCUGCGGACCUCACGCGAUCAGAUGAGCCUAGGUCGGAUUAGCUAGUUGGUGGGGUAAAGGCCUACCAAGGCGACGAUCCGUAACUGGUCUGAGAGGAUGAUCAGUCACACUGGAACUGAGACACGGUCCAGACUCCUACGGGAGGCAGCAGUGGGGAAUAUUGGACAAUGGGCGAAAGCCUGAUCCAGCCAUGCCGCGUGUGUGAAGAAGGUCUUCGGAUUGUAAAGCACUUUAAGUUGGGAGGAAGGGCAGUAAGUUAAUACCUUGCUGUUUUGACGUUACCAACAGAAUAAGCACCGGCUAACUUCGUG